rnacentral:rRNA from 1 species
GACGAACGCUGGCGGCGUGCUUAACACAUGCAAGUCGAACGGAAAGGCCCUGCUUUUGUGGGGUGCUCGAGUGGCGAACGGGUGAGUAACACGCGAGUAACCUGCCCUUGACUUUGGGAUAACUUCAGGAAACUGGGGCUAAUACCGGAUAGGAGCUCCUGCUGCAUGGUGGGGGUUGGAAAGUUUCGGCGGUUGGGGAUGGACUCGCGGCUUAUCAGCUUGUUGGUGGGGUAGUGGCUUACCAAGGCUUUGACGGGUAGCCGGCCUGGGAGGGUGACCGGCCACAUGAGGACUGAGGUACGGACCAGACUCCUACGGGAGGCAGCAGUGGAGAAUAUUGCACAAUGGGCGGAAGCCUGAUGCAGCAACGCCGCGUGCGGGAUGACGGCCUUCGGGUUAUGAACCGCUUUCGCCUGUGACGAAGCGUGAGUGACGGUAAUGAGUAAAGAAGCACCGGCUAACUACGUG